GAUGAACGCUAGCGGCAGGCCUAAUACAUGCAAGUCGGACGGGAUUCAGGAGCUUGCUUCUGAUGAGAGUGGCGCACGGGUUCGUAACACGUAUGUAACCUACCUUUAUCAGGGGGAUAGCCUCUCGAAAGAGAGAUUAAGCCCGCAUAAAAUCACAGCACAGCAUUGUGUAAUGAUCAAAUAUUUAUAGGAUAAAGAUGGGCAUGCGGAACAUUAGCUAGAUGGCGGGGUAACGGCCCGCCAUGGCGACGAUGUUUAGGGGAUCUGAGAGGAUGGCCCCCCACACUGGUACUGAGAAACGGACCAGAAUCCUACGGGAGGCAGCAGUAAGGAAUAUUGGUCAAAGAGCGGAAGCCUGAACCAGCCAGGCCGCGUGCAGGAAGACGGCCCUACGGGUUGUAGACUGCUUUUAUACGGGAAUAAACCCAGAUACGUGUAUCUGGCUGAAUGUACUGUAAGAAUAAGGAUCGGCUAACUCCGU
rnacentral:rRNA from 1 species